rnacentral:misc_RNA from 1 species
UCUGCAUUAAUAAAUUUGGACCAGGGCUUUCUACUGUGCCUCCCAACAAGUGCAUCAAGUUGAGGAUCAAGCUCUAAGUGAUAUUUAUUCAGAUAUGCAUUCAAUUCAUCAGUUCCAAGUACCCUCGCAAUUUUCACAAGCUGAUCAUGGUUGUCAUGGCCAUAAAAGAAUGGCUCUUUUCUAAAUAUCAUUCCUGCAAACAUGCAACCAAGGCUCCACAUGUCUAAAGAAUAAUCAUAGUCUUGUAAAUCAACUAGAAGCUCAGG